UACGGAGGGUGCGAGCGUUGUCCGGAAUCACUGGGCGUAAAGGGCGCGUAGGCGGCCUGGUAAGUAGGAGGUGAAAUCCUGCGGCUUAACCGCAGGGCUGCCUUCUAAACUGUCAGGCUCGAGCACAGUAGAGGCAGGUGGAAUUCCCGGUGUAGCGGUGGAAUGCGUAGAGAUCGGGAAGAACAUCAGUGGCGAAGGUGGCCUGCUGGGCUGUUGCUGACGCUGAGGCGCGACAGCGUGGGGAGCAAACAGG
rnacentral:rRNA from 1 species